AAAUUGAAGAGUUUGAUCAUGGCUCAGAUUGAACGCUGGCGGCAGGCCUAACACAUGCAAGUCGAACGGUAACAGGAAGAAGCUUGCUUCUUUGCUGACGAGUGGCGGACGGGUGAGUAAUGUCUGGGAAACUACCUGAUGGAGGGGGAUAACUACUGGAAACGGUAGCUAAUACCGCAUAACGUCGCAAGACCAAAGAGGGGGACCUUCGGGCCUCUUGCCAUCGGAUGUGCCCAGAUGGGAUUAGCUAGUAGGUGGGGUAACGGCUCACCUAGGCGACGAUCCCUAGCUGGUCUGAGAGGAUGACCAGCCACACUGGAACUGAGACACGGUCCAGACUCCUACGGGAGGCAGCAGUG
rnacentral:rRNA from 1 species